GAUAAACGCUAGCGGCAGGCCUAACACAUGCAAGUCGAGGGGCAGCGUGGAAGUAGUUUACUACUUCUGACGGCGACCGGCGCACGGGUGCGUAACGCGUAUGCAACCUACCUAUAACAGGGGGAUAAUUCCGAGAAAUUGGUUCUAAUACCCCAUACUAUAUUGAAUGGCAUCAUUUGAUAUUGAAAGUUCCGGCGGUUAUAGAUGGGCAUGCGUUGUAUUAGCUAGUUGGUGAGGUAACGGCUCACCAAGGCGACGAUACAUAGGGGGACUGAGAGGUUAGCCCCCCACACUGGUACUGAGACACGGACCAGACUCCUACGGGAGGCAGCAGUGAGGAAUAUUGGUCAAUGGGCGAGAGCCUGAACCAGCCAAGUCGCGUGAAGGAUGACUGCCCUAUGGGUUGUAAACUUCUUUUAUAGGGGAAUAAAAAGUGGGACGUGUCCUAUAUUGUAUGUACCCUAUGAAUAAGCAUCGGCUAACUACGUGCCAGCAGCCGCGGUAAUAC
rnacentral:rRNA from 1 species